rnacentral:rRNA from 1 species
CCUACGGGUGGCAGCAGUGAGGAAUAUUGCACAAUGGACGGAAGCCUGAACCAGCCAUGCCGCGUGCGUGAAGACGGCUUUCUGAGUUUUAAGCUGCUUUUGUGCAAGGGUAGACCUGAAUACUUGUAUUCACCUGGAAGUACUUUACGCAUAAGGAUCGGCUAACUUCGUUCCAGCCGCCGCGGUAAUACGGAGGGUCCAAGCGUUACCCGGAUUUGUUGGGUUUAACGUGAACGUAGGCGGAUUGAUAAGUUAGAGGUGAAAUGUCCGCGCUGAACUCGGGAACUGCCUCUAAUACUGGUGAUCUAGAGAGUAGAUGCGGUAGGCGGAAUGUAUGGUGUAGCGGUGAAAUGCUUAGAGAUCAUACAGAACACCGAUGGCGAAGGCAGCUUACUAAUCUAUAUCUGACGUUGAGGCACGAAAGCGUGGGGAGCAAACAGGAUUAGAUACCCGAGUAGUC